ACACAAGCAGGGGGAGAAGCAGGCUUCCCAUACAGCAGGGAGCCCGAUGUGGGGCUCAAUCCCAGGACACCAGGAUCAUGACCUGAGCUGAAGGCAGACGCCCAACGACUGAGCCACCCAGGCGCCCCUGCUUUGGGUUUCAGAUCUCAAUCAUCUUUCACCAUCUUUAAGCCUUGCACCUCAAUCAAGAUACCCCAAAAUACAUGUUUAAUUACUUAACAGAUUAACCUUCAUUUUGCCUCAUUAUAUUUCUAUUUCAUGGCCGAAAAGGGGGCAACCACAGAGAUAGAAGAAGAGAGCCUCUGGUUUGCAAUUUCUCAGGCUACUUCCCAGCUCCUUUAUCUUUUUAAAUGCAAGAAGCUCUGUACUAUCUUUGUAAUUCUUACCAUAACUAAGCUGACUUGAUGAAACACCAGUCUUAUUUUAGGGCCUUAUCUUACCUACAUUCAUGCAUAGGAGCCAUUCCAGCUACCAGAGGGACAGAAGAGAGAUGCUGUCAUCCCUGGGCAUACAGCUGAAGACGGGUCCCACCACCUUUGUUUGCAGCCCACCACAAGCAGCCUCCUAGCCUCUGACUUCACGUCCCUUGCAAGGUCAUGAUUUGCAAAUCACUGCAAACCACAUGCUGUGAUUUAUGUGAAAACGAUUCUUUUUUUAAGUUGCCAACGACUAUGCAAACCACAAAAAGAUUGUCUGAUUAACUGCGAAAUCUUGGGGAAAAGAUCAUUGCAUGAUGAAAUUUUGGAAGUCAAGUAAUGGAAGAAGAUACAAUUAGCCAGAUAAAGAACUUCCACAAUGGGAGCCUCAAAUCAGAAAGCAAAAAUUACAACAGGAGAGGAAAAUGGAAAGAUGAUCUCAAAGAGCAAAGCCUUCACAGGAUUUGAAUGUGUGAGAGGAGUAGACCCCUCAUCAGCAGAACCUGGGCUUGCUUCAGGGAGAGAAAAAUGGAGCCGACUGACAGAAGUAUCUCACCAUAAGAGGCAGCUUAGACUAAGGACAGAAGCUGUGCCCAUCUCGGGGAGUUGAGGGAGGCUUCCAGCUGACAGACAGCAGGAAGUCAGGAACCUCAGUCCCACAAACUGCAAGGAAAUGAAUUCCACCAUCCAGAGCGAGCUUGGUAACAGAUUCUUCCCCAGUCGAGCCUCCAGACUAGCACACAACCUGGCUGACACCUUGAAUGCAGCCCUGUGAGACCUUGAGCAGAAGACCCAGCUGAGGCUACUCCUAGGAGCUGUGGAAACAAGGGUCAAUAGGCCCAUUGACUGAUAGAGAAGUACAGUACUUACAGGGAUGUGCCAUACACACAGUUGGAGAAUGUGCUAGGGGCUUCAGUUUGGGCCUAAUGGAGGAUCUAUACAAGGGGAAGGUAAAUGGAGUGUGGGCUAGACUCCAGCCCCUGCUUGACCCAUUCAGUUGGUGCCUUUGUGCAGGGCACACACUCUGUAGCUAUGUGCCAGGGCCAUCCAAGGCCAAAAGGGCAAAUGCUGUGGAUCCAGGGGCCUGCCCCCUGCAGUCCUACUUCCAAGACCAACAGCGACUGUCCAUCUGUGCCCUGCUCACGCACAACUCUGCAAAGUUGUCUGUAUGUUGCCUGUCUUGCUCCAGCCAGAAGCCAGGUCUAUGAAAGAAGGGGUCAGGCCAGUUGCCCCCUACGUUGCUUUCUCCUCCUGCAUUCUGCCCUUCUGACACUGCAUGCUCCGAGAGUGUGAGAAUCCUGUCUUGGCAUCCCCUACAAGGUCCAGCCCAGGGUGAGCUCAUAGAGCCCUUACCGAUUCACAUGGAAAGAUGCAGGAUGAUGCAAUCCUAUGUACCACUUGUGGUGGGAGGGACCAAAGUCUACUCAGGAUAGAGAAAGGACUGGUUGAUUACAGUUUUUUCAAGUCCAAACCAUGAGAAGCAACAGCAUUCACUUCCAGACAGCAUCACAGGUGUCCAUGGCCGAUUGGCCAGUUUGACUCACAGGGCACAGGAAAAGCAAAAGGCUGGAUGGGAAUGAACGCCUGCCCACUCACAAAAACACUUGCUGUUUUUAGAGAAUGAAUAGGUUUCUUUAGUAUCUGCAACAACUUAGGCCAGUCUGGGGACAACUGUGUGCUGGCCUCCACCUCCAACCCUUCACCCCCUGCCUCCAUAGAGCUCCCCUCAGAGCCUUCUUUGGGCCAGCAGCAAAUGUAAAAGACUGGUCGAUGCUUCUAAGUCUUGCCUCCCAGGGUGCUUUCUUUAACAAUCAGUCUUGGGGCUCCUGGGUGGCUCAGUCGUUAAGCGCCUGCCUUUGGCUCAGGUCACGAUCCCAGGGUCCUGGGAUCGAGCCCCACAUUGGACUCUCUGCUCCGCGGGAAGCCUGCUUCUCCCUCUCCCACUCCCCCUGCUUGUGUUCCCUCUCUCGCUGUGUCUCUCUCUGUCAAAUAAAUAAAUAAAAUCUUAAAAAAAAAAAAAUCAGUCUUAAGGUCCAGAAGGAAAUUCUUCCAGGGGAGAAGGAGCUGUUAGGGCUAAGUCACUGGUUUGUGGACAGGCAGUCAUAGAUUGAACUAGCCUUAAUAAUACAGAGGUUAAUAAUUAGCCUUAAUUAUUCAUAUUAACCUUGACAAUUCAGAGAGUCCCUUGCAAUAACAGUACUGUGAAGAAUGUGCUCAUUUAACAAAGACUUUUUAUACAGAUAAUGU